CACGUCAUUAUUGAACGGAAAUACUGGACACAGAAACAUGUUCCAAUAAAAUUUAACAGAAGAAACAAAAACACAAAAUCAAAAUACAAAUGUACACAAUGUAAUAUAAGGGGAGGGAAAAUAAAUUUUAUCUAGAAAUAAAAAAUAAAAAAAAACACUUGAAUUCAAUUACCACCAACGGAGUGUUCAUACACAAAUUGUCAAGCUCUCGCGCCAAUUCUAACACCGAUGAGAAAAAGCUGUAUAAGUAAAAAAUCAACCAGUGCAAUACAAAUACAAACAUUCAUUCAUUGCCAAGCAGUACCUAAAUCCCCAAAAGCGACAUCUAGCGAAGAUCUGACGACCGAAUGCACAGAUAAUAUAGUGAAAAGUAUAAAACAGCCGCCCACCCUUAGUACGAUGAUUGAUAAAAUAACCACAACAGACCAAGAACUAAAAUGUAUAAAGCAAGAAAUAAAAUCAAAUGUUCGAAAUAUAGUGACAUCAAGAAAUACAAAACGAACUUCGAAAUUCAAUAUCGCAUUAAAAAUGGAUAAUUCGAAAGAAUAUAGAAUAUUGAUAAACGUAAAUUCUAAACGAUAAAAAUGGAAUUCAUGUAAAUUUUAAAAGUAAAGUUAAUAGAACACCAAAAGAACUGAAUAAAAAAAUAUCAUUGCCAAUAAAAAGAAACAAAUGGAAUAAGGGAAAAUUGAAAGAAUACUUAUUCGUCUACGACAUGCCUCAUAUUGUGCCGCAUUCAAUCUUCUCAGAGCAGACUUCUCCAGUAUCGCCUUCAAUAAGAUCGAGUCAUACUUUGUGUGAGCCAACAUGUGUAGAAUUUGUGAGUAAUGGUGCGCAAACUUCAGCCAGGCAAUGGAAACUUUAUAAUGAAGAACGAAAUUUAUAUAAAGGUGCAAAACAACGAGUGACCUCUAGUGGCAACCCCAGAAACCCAAAAAACUCCAACGUAUUCUACUUGGAAGCUUGCACAAUGAAACCUAGUACUUAUCACAACGCAGGCUGUCAGACAUACGAAUACAUUAUUCCAGUAAUAACAAUAGCUAGUGCCUCCACCUGUAGUCUCUCACCAGCACUAAGUCUUACGGAUAUUUGCGAAGGGAGAGAUAAAAAUGAAUUACAAGCCGUGUACUACAUGCUUAGUGCAAUCGAAGGUAGAAUCAGACGGUUGAAACAAAACAUUCGCUGCAGACAGUAAAUGGUACAUAGAUGGCGCUGUUUUAAAUUAUUCACUUUUUAAUUUUUUUCUAACAUUGUUUAGUGGUCGUACAAACGUUUGAAGUGAAAUGGUUAUGUGAAAUAAAAUUUUGU